rnacentral:rRNA from 1 species
AGACCCGAAACCCGGUGAUCUAGCCAUGGGCAGGUUGAAGGUUGGGUAACACUAACUGGAGGACCGAACCGACUAAUGUUGAAAAAUUAGCGGAUGACCUGUGGCUGGGGGUGAAAGGCCAAUCAAACCGGGAGAUAGCUGGUUCUCCCCGAAAGCUAUUUAGGUAGCGCCUCGUGAAUUCAUCUCCGGGGGUAGAGCACUGUUUCGGCUAGGGGGCCAUCCCGGCUUACCAACCCGAUGCAAACUGCGAAUACCGGAGAAUGUUAUCACGGGAGACACACGGCGGGUGCUAACGUCCGUCGUGAAGAGGGAAACAACCCAGACCGCCAGCUAAGGUCCCAAAGUCAUGGUUAAGUGGGAAACGAUGUGGGAAGGCCCAGACAGCCAGGAUGUUGGCUUAGAAGCAGCCAUCAUUUAAAGAAAGCGUAAUAGCUCACUGGUCGAGUCGGCCUGCGCGGAAGAUGUAACGGGGCUAAACCAUGCACCGAAGCUGCGGCAGCGACACUAUGUGUUGUUGGGUAGGGGAGCGUUCUGUAAGCCUGUGAAGGUGGCCUGUGAGGGUUGCUGGAGGUAUCAGAAGUGCGAAUGCUGACAUAAGUAACGAUAAAGCGGGUGAAAAGCCCGCUCGCCGGAAGACCAAGGGUUCCUGUCCAACGUUAAUCGGGGCAGGGUGAGUCGACCCCUAAGGCGAGGCCGAAAGGCGUAGUCGAUGGGAAACGGGUUAAUAUUCCCGUACUUGGUGUUACUGCGAAGGGGGGACGGAGAAGGCUAUGUUGGCCGGGCGACGGUUGUCCCGGUUUAAGCGUGUAGGUGUGUGUUCCAGGUAAAUCCGGUUCACUUUAACACUGAGGUGUGACGACGAGGCACUACGGUGCUGAAGCAACAAAUGCCCUGCUUCCAGGAAAAGCCUCUAAGCAUCAGGUAACAUCAAAUCGUACCCCAAACCGACACAGGUGGUCAGGUAGAGAAUACCAAGGCGCUUGAGAGAACUCGGGUGAAGGAACUAGGCAAAAUGGUGCCGUAACUUCGGGAGAAGGCACGCUGACAUGUAGGUGAAGUGAUUUACUCACGGAGCUGAAGUCAGUCGAAGAUACCAGCUGGCUGCAACUGUUUAUUAAAAACACAGCACUGUGCAAACACGAAAGUGGACGUAUACGGUGUGACGCCUGCCCGGUGCCGGAAGGUUAAUUGAUGGGGUCAGCGCAAGCGAAGCUCCUGAUCGAAGCCCCGGUAAACGGCGGCCGUAACUAUAACGGUCCUAAGGUAGCGAAAUUCCUUGUCGGGUAAGUUCCGACCUGCACGAAUGGCGUAAUGAUGGCCAGGCUGUCUCCACCCGAGACUCAGUGAAAUUGAACUCGCUGUGAAGAUGCAGUGUACCCGCGGCAAGACGGAAAGACCCCGUGAACCUUUACUAUAGCUUGACACUGAACAUUGAGCCUUGAUGUGUAGGAUAGGUGGGAGGCUUUGAAGUGUGG